GACGAACGCUGGCGGCGUGCCUAAUACAUGCAAGUCGAACGCAGUGGGGACGGGUGAGUAACACGUGAGUAACCUCACAUCAGAGGGGAUAAAACUUGGAAACAGGUGCUAAACCGAUACUGAUGGAUGGACCCGCGGUGCAUUAGCUAGUUGGUGAGGUAACGGUUCACCAAGGCAACGAUGCAUAGCCGGCCUGAGAGGGUGUUCAGCCACACUGGGACUGAGACACGGCCCAGACUCCUACGGGAGGCAGCAGUUGGGAAUCUUCGGCAAUGGACGAAAGUCUGACCGAGCCACGCCGCGUGUGUGAAGAAGGUUUUCGGAUCGUAAAACUCUGUAAUUAGAGAAGCGUUAUCUAACCAGAAAGCCACGGCUAACUACGUGCCAGCCGCCGCGGUAAUUC
rnacentral:rRNA from 1 species